GUAGGUGGCAAGCGUUGUCCGGAACUAUUGGGCGUAAAGCGCGCGCAGGCGGUUCUUUAAGUCUGAUGUGAAAGCCCACGGCUCAACCGUGGAGGGUCAUUGGAAACUGGAGAACUUGAGUACAGAAGAGGAAAGCGGAAUUCCACGUGUAGCGGUGAAAUGCGUAGAGAUGUGGAGGAACACCAGUGGCGAAGGCGGCUUUCUGGUCUGUAACUGACGCUGAGGCGCGAAAGCGUGGGGAGCAAACAGGAUUAGAUACCCUGGUAGUCCACGCCGUAAACGAUGAGUGCUAAGUGUUAGGGGGGUUUCCGCCCCCCUUAGUGCUGCAGCUAACGCAUUAAGCACUCCGCCUGGGAGUACGGCCGCAAGGCUG
rnacentral:rRNA from 1 species